UGCACCAUCCGAAGUCCAGUAACUCAGAGGACACACUUUGAGAUUAACAAUGUAUCAACCACUUUUCUCCUACUGAAGGAAUACUUCACCUGCUAGAAAGUCUUUCAAGCGUGUAUUACUUAAUUUUGGCUCAUAAAUGUAAGACUCACUGGAGAACUAGUUACGGCGGAAGAAUACGCGCCACGAGCAACACAAGCAUGCAGAGAGUACCCCGGGCGGAAGAAUACGGAUACGAAUACCGAUGAAGAAUGUCAUCGCUGAUUUGUUAACUAUUUUGACUUCAUUGUGUCUCCCAUAAUAAGAAACAAUAGCAGAACAGGAGGUUAUAUAUUAUUUUAAGAAGUUGGUAACACCUGCAAGACAUCUAUAAAAGAGACCAUAUCCACUAUGAAUGGAAGGUGCCGGAAGAGGAGUGGAAUGACUCUGCAGUGCAGAGAAACCGGCAAGCUGUAAUUGAUUAACUCAAAUUGUGGAAAGGAUACCUUGAGAAGGGGCCUUUUUUGUCUGGACAGGCCUUUUCCUUGUCAGAUGUCAGUAUUUUUCUACUCAUUGCCAAAGCCUUCUACUUUGAGCUGAGCGCUGAUCGUUACCUGAAACUGUCUGCAUAUUACAAUGAGUCGAAGGGUGGGCCUAACAUCAAAAGCACAUGGCCUCCUCACAAGAAGGGAGGACAAGCAGAAGACAGACUCAAAGAUGUCUAGAUGCAAAACAAACAUCAAUUUCUCAGUGGUAAUCACCUUUUAUAUGACCACUCUUUGCAUUGUACUUUAGUAGCAUAUUGUACUGUUAUAACUGUUGUUUUAAUGCUAUAAAAGUUAAUAAAAAUGUAC